CCUGUCCCUAGAGGUGUUGUAUGUAUAGCUGCUGUGACACAUAUAAGUCAGGAGGUGGACGAGAGAAGAGAGGCUAUCUAUUCUCAAUAUUCUAACCUGUGAACAUCUGAAUGAUUAGUUGCCUAAUACU